rnacentral:piRNA from 1 species
GAAAAUGCCACGGCGAUGUGUCUACUACAAAUAUGUAAAUUGUGUUAUUACCAUGCUGCCGUGCUAACGAUCGAUUUGAAGGCAACAUUAUAAAAUUUGUAUUCCCUUUCAAAAGUCGGCUUUAAGAUCAUCUUAAUACAAAGAGAAGUGGAUAGAGAAAAUAGGAAGGCGUGUAAAGAGAGAAUAUGCUGUCUUUGAAUGAUCUCGAUCAUCUGGUCUUUUCUGCGGCCGCUAUAUAGGGAAGGGCCUAAUUUUGCUAUAUAGGGGAUCUUAGCCGAAUCUUGCUAUAUAGAGAAGGGAAGUUUCUAGUAUGUGCAUCUUCCUCAUUUCCUUUGGUAAGUUAUCAUCAAACAGGUGAUGCUGCGGUAAGGUGACGGAGUGCUGGGCCAACGUUACAACUUCUGUCGACGUCGGUCAGAUCGUAUACCUAAGUCUCAGAGAUGAAGUCCCCAAUAAGUGCUUCUCUCUCUCCUUUGGCCAACACACAUACAUUUAAAAAUGAAAAUAAUUAUGGGAUAUACAGUUAAAGCGAAACAAAAGUUAUGUAUUUUACUAUUUAAGCACGCAAUGUUUGUUUGGAUGGUUCGGUUUCUCGAAAACGGCUCUAAUAAUUUCAACCAAAUUUUCUAUCUAGAGGUUCAUUCCAAGAUUCCUCACAAAGGAGCAGAAGCGCUGUGCCGGCUCGAAGCUUGUGAGGAGAACAUGUUGGAUAAAUGGAAUGGAAGAACAAGAUAAGUGAAGGUGAUGAAACAUGAGUCUGUGACAACAAGCGUCAAUACUCGGGAUGAAUCUAGGCCUCCCCAAAAUUAAGGAUGUUCAUCACAUCCAGAAACAAUGUAAGGCUGAAAACAAUUUUUGGGCCAUAAAGGCAUUGUCCACAACUAGUAUCUUCCAGAAGGCACAAAAAUUAACAAAGUAGUUGUAUUUAGACAUUCUAAGACAUUUAAGGAAAGCAAUUGGGGGAAAAGGUCAGAAAAAUCGGCAAAUGGCAAUUCAAUCUUUACCGUGACAAUGCCCGCGCUCGCAAACAGCGCAUUUGAUUUUGGCUUUUUUGCCAAAAAAAAAAAAAAAAUUAUCUUGCCUAACCAUCCUAUUCUCCGGAUACUGCUUCCCAUUUUCCUUAAAUUCAAAUCAGCACUAAAAGAAAGUCGCUUUGACACAGGAAUAACGUUAUUGAACACAUUUUAAAAAAGGCAUCUCCUUAUGGCUUGCGCCAUCAGUUGCCCGAUAGGAGAUGCCUUAAAAAAAAUUAUCCACCUUAUCCCAGUGAAAUUUUACAUUUGCAAUUUUUUUUCACAUUAUUUAACAAGUUGUAGAAAAGUACUAGGUUUAACCUUUAAAAAAAUCCAUUACAGGCUCACGCGUCUCGAGAAUGGUCUCUGAUGUAGCUAAUUCUUUUAUCUAUAUAAUAGUGUAAAAACAGCCAUACUAUUUUAAGACGUGAAAUUUUAGAUUUCAAUAGCACUUAAAUUGUUUGAACUUUGUUUUAGAUAUCCAAGUGCACAAAGUCAAUGUUGCUCCGGACAGUGCAUGUGUUGCUAUAAUUGUAAACGUUGAAGACUCCUCAUCUUAACAAGCCACGGGCGGGCUUGGCUAAUCAGCGAGAGACAGGAAAUUGUCCCUGCAAUCAACCAAUUACGGCAAUUAGCGGACGAUGGCUGUCCUGGCUGGCUUCCUUCUCCAUCCUGAGACUGACGGAGCAUCGUCAUGUUGAGGGGAUUGAAAAAUAUUUCAGAAUUUUAAACGUGGCGCCCACACACAUAAAUUAUGACAACGAUAAUAUUCGUUAUAGGAUAAGAAAUACAAGUCGGGGAGAAGUUUAUUUUAUAAGAGGACGUUCGUACAAGUUUUCGUAUUUUUUCUUCUAAACCUAAAUUAUGCCGAAAAGGCACGGAUCGUGUACAAGGAGAGGCGCUUGGAGGUUAUGCUGCGUGGGAUGGCCAGCUGUUCCUGCGCAUCAGCACACGCAUUGUGCGUCGAAUUCUGGAGCAUUACCGUUUGACUCUGUUCGAAUCUCAGGGCAUUCCGGGUACUGGACUCCCGUGGCCGACAUGUCCUUCGCUUCUCCUUCGGGGACUAUGCUGAGCAUAUCGCCCUACACUUGGCCCUGCAUGCAUGUCUCAUCCCAGACUAUUUGCAUAUCCUACAGCUCCAGCGACAUAUCGCUCGCCCACCGCUGCUACUGGUUCUGAAGCGCCGUUCUCGUCUGUUCACCCAAGAAGCGUUCUCCAUCAUCAGGCGGCCGCUGGGCCUACAGUCCCAGAUCUAAGCGGUGGAUUUCGAGGACCACGCCAUCACUAAACCCCUCGUCGGCGAAGUUUACGGUCUAUGUCUAUACUUCGUCGAGAGACGCUGGCGAUCUCAGCAACGGAGUUGUAUAACAUAUUCAUUGUAUUUAUUUAUAUCUCAUAUAUUAUCAUCACAAUUUAUAUAAUUUCAUAUAAUCAAAAAUUAAUUGUACAAAUUAUUCACCUGUUGACAGAGUGUCGGAUUAGAUUGAUGUCGAUGUUGUCUCUCAAGCACAUAUGGGAAACUUAUAUUUUCGACGCUGUAAUAAAAACGUGCGUGGGCAGUGGAUGAGGAUUUUGAAUAUUGGGUCAUUUAGUUGGCGAUACCUUUUAUGUCCAUUAUAUUUGAGGUGUGGUCCAAUCAACAAGAUUUAGAAGAACGCCGGCUUCAGGGACCUUGCAUAUUGCCAUCAUUUGUUAUAACAAAGAACGUUACACAUAGAAAUUUUCAACAAUUAAGUUUGAAGGCGUUAUUAUAACAACACUGCAAAUCAAACGCGCCAGUUUUCAGGGAAGAUUAGCAUUUUUGUUUGGAUCAUCGCUGUGGGUAAAAUGGAAGCAAGCAACCACGUGACCCCAUCAGGGAGGGAUACAAGGAUUGUUGCAGUUUUCUGUUAUGUUGCAAUCUAAUGACUACUUUGCGUUAUAUAGAGAAGUAAUUAAUAAUGGGGUCCCACCACGUAAAAAUGAAUUUGUUGCAAAAAAAAAACUACCUUUGAUUUCUUUUCAACUUUAAUUAGAAAGAGAAUUGAUAUUUAUUGCAUGAAAAUGCCUUCUAUAGUUCUAAAACAUCACAGGGGAAAAAAACACGUAUAUUUAUAAUUAAGGGCUAUGUGCCUUUGUAUUUGAACAAAAAUUAAGAUUUAAAAAAACAUAGUUUAUAUUAGGCAAGAUGUUUUAAUACGAGCUCCAUAUUCACAGCCGUCACAAAGAUGCAACAGCUUCAAAAGUGAAACAUUCACGCUGAGAAAUCCUAUUAACAUACCAUCCAACUGUGACGUCGUGUGUACAGACAGCUCCUAACAUGGUGGUGUUUAUUUUUAUACCAGCUCAAGAAUUCCACUUUACUCUAGUCUGGCGAUGGUGGCUUAUAGGAGCCAACAGAGCGAUUUCUUUGUAAAAUAUAAUUUUUAUUGUCACACACAAAAAAUUACCUUCUUUCAAAAUACAACAUAGAUCAGGGGUCUAUUGCUCAAAAGAAAAACUUUUUCCGUUGCUUUUAAAAUUUUAUCUCCCAUUCCUAUGGUAGAGUGUAUUGGGAGGCUCAUCAUGUUUUGAGUGUAGAUUGAAGAAUCUAAAUGCAUGAACAAAACUUAGGAAAGUGGAUGGUCUUUGAUGCCACCGUGUACUGUUUUUUAAAGGAGACAGGGGUAAUUUUAUUCACACUUAGUUAUCUCGUGUGGCUUCAAUAAAGGUCACUGUGUAUCAAAUAGCUUUCAGAGUUAUUGUCUGUGUCUGCCGAUAUACAAGGAGUUUAAGAGCAUGCCUCCUACUGGAUGCGAUGGGUAGCUUGGAGCGUUUUGAUUCGUAUGAAGGAUAAGGCAGUUCAAGUGGCAUUAGAGUCCGUAUAAACAGGAGUCCCAGUGUGCCAACAACAGUGCCCUGAAGAAGGCAAUCUUUACGUAACUCCGCCGCGGCGCCAGCGGCGGGCGGGAGGGCGAGUGAGUCAGUUCCGGUGACGGCAAGCUUGGGUCAAAUGAACGGAGCACUUCUUCGGUCGUGCUAGCCCAGGCGCCACGCUUCCUUACUUCCCAUAGGGUGUCGCUGUAUGGAAUGUAAAGAAGUAUGGGGCCUAAGGGAUUAGCAUUUCACCGUGUCACAUGUGGCGUCCAUCGUUCCCAUCAUCAGGUAAGUUGGCAGAAUUUCUCUACCAAAAUGGAACUCUCCCGACGUGGAACGAAAUCUCCCCGAGAUAACAGAAGGUUAGAGUGGUGAUGAAGAAUGUGCCACAACACCAUUGGCCAAUCUUGGCGUGUUAAAAUAUAGAAUGAGAAACGCAUACCUUUUAAGUCGUGGACCACGAAAACUGAAGAUGAUUUUAAAUAAGGCAUAAGGUUUCUGGAGAUGUGAGUUUAUUUUCAUUUUUAUUGCAAUCUGAAGCAUUCGGGCAUUACCUCCCUUCUACAGGAGUACAAGAUGGGCGUUUCAUCAUUGUUCAUUUUUGUACUCCAGUUCAUGUAAUGCCCGAAAUAUUGAGAUUUCAAUAAAAAUGAAAAGAAACUCAUCUCUAGAAACAUGUCGCCUUAUUUAAUUCACAGAAGAUUCCCAUUUAUUGAAGAUGAAUCUGGAGAAAAAAGUCGUGAAAGAAAAAUUGGCUAUUACUUCAUCAUCACACAAUAUACGGAUAUCAGAAUUAUUGAAUGUGAUCUGCGACCACUGACGACUUUGACUAAACUCAAUGCUAACAACUUAAGAGAUUUCUGGCGUGGAGCCAGUUGUGGAAUUAUUCUAUAGAACAUCUUCCCUAAGUAGAUACUGUGGGGAAGAAUACUUGUCUAUUAAUGAAGAUUCAUUUGGGUGUGCCUGUUAGGGUUUGAAAUAAGGAACAAAAAUAAAAUUUUAAAUAUAUUUCUUUCUAACAGCAUAUUACUUCUAUGGAUUUUUGAAGUGGUAGAAAGGUUUUUUGAAAAAUUGAAGAAAUGUGUUAUGUACUGUUGGCGAGAAUGUCAUUGCCCUUGUGCCGACUCAAUAUACUUCCUGAUUAGGUCUGGCUUUGGAUGAAAUGGAAUUUGAUCGUCCUAGGAACUCAACGGGUUUUCAACUUAAGAAAUGAAUUUUAUAUACCGGGUCACUCUUUAUUAGUGUUUUUUUUUUAACUCGGGUUUUUUAAAAUGUCUCCUAGGCAGAGAAAGUUGUUCGUUUAUAUAUUUUACAAGUACAGAUUUUUCUUAACCAGAACAAACAAACAGUUUAUUGUCGGUUUUGAUGUCGGCAAUAUUGUCACUGGAAGUUAGAACAAAGGUGCAAGUUCUAAAUAAGCGACUAAAUCCGAUGCUAGAUCCGUCCGAUGGUAGUCGACCUUAAGGAGCGCAGAUAGAAACUUGUCUGCCCUAGACUCAAGAGCAGGUCAUAUAUUUUCAUCGACAUUUGCCUAUCCACGGCAGAGCACAAGAGGAGAAGAUUCCAGCAAUGAUAGUGUGUGCUUAUUAUACCCACACUUUAUUGAUAUAUACUUCAGUAUCUUGAAACAUUGAGAGUAUUAGUCGACACAUGGAACAAAGGAAUGAAGUGACAACGUGACUGUAUUGAAGUAUCUAGAAAUACGUUUAGCAUGUAUAUCGGGAUUCACACAAUAACUCUGAAAGAUAUUACAGUGACCUUACUACACGAGAUAUAACCAAGUGUGAAUAAAAAAUUGCCUCUGUAUCCUUUAAAAAAAAAAAAAAAAGGAUCAUCAAAAUAUGAAAAAUUAUUUAAGUUUUUUUUCCAUGAGUGUGUUUCUAAAUAGUUCUAAUUUUUAAGAAAUGCAAAAUAAAGCUUUGGAAUUCUCAUCUUAAAUGAAAAAAAUAAAAUAAUAAUAGAGAUGCUACGGCGAAGUCUUGUAAAUAUACCGUUGAAGGCUCUAGGCUCGAAUGCUUGCCUUCUUAAAUGCAUAAUAAUAAUUAUUCCUUUGAACCUCUUUUAGCACAAGUAGUAUAAGUUUAUCUUAAUAUCUUUACAGGCAAGGCUAGGCCAACUCCAUGUGUGAGGCCACGUCUGACAUGAGAGUGAUUCCGAGAAGGAAUACCCAUGUUAGAAACAUCACCUAUCAAGUCAACAGUGUUUGCUACAGCUUAAUAUAUAACGGCUCUGUGGUAAUGACAAUAUUUAAGGACAUACUAUCAUAUAUAAAAUAUAUAUUUUUACUGUGGUGUUUCAAAAGCUUGUGAUGCUUGGAUGAAAAGGAGUUGUGAUGGCUUUAAUGAGUAACAGCCAUCAUGUCAAUAUGGAUCAAGAGGUUUGGUUCAAAUCGGGAAAUGAGUUUGUUUUGGGGAAAAAAAAAAUGUUUCAAAUAAACAACUUUCUCUUUGUCGCCCGGAAGAAAUUCCUCGACAUGGCAAUAAUGGGGGAGAUCUACGUCUGUCCAGGGCGGACAUCGAAUCAGACGACUCUCAGCUGGAUUCGUCUGAUGUUGAUAAUUUUUAAUUCUCAAAUUUGUUCCCUUUAUAUAUAUUUAACCUUAUAUGAACGAUUAAUAAAUCAGUUUGAAUCUCAAUCUACUCUAACCGUAUAUAACUUUGUUAAUUACGAAUCAGAAAUGUGUCGAAUAGCAGAAAAUUAAGUAAGAAAUGUUUUUUUUUUUUUUUACUUGAGGCGCUCGAAGGAAGUGCUUGAGCGGGGGAUUUCAUCAGAUGACCUUGAUAACGAGAAUGGAAUAUAAACAAACUUCGUCCUAUCAUGGGAGAUAGUGGUUACAGUUUGGAAGGCCACAUGUUGCCUAAUGGAAGCGCUACAGAGGGAAUUGAACACACAUCGCUGGAUUCCUGUAGUAGCUUUGUUUCGUUAGGUCGGACAAUACUUUGUUCAGUAGUGUAAAAGUAAAUAAAAGUGUGUCAGAGGCAGGUGGGGGCUCGAUGAAGAAAGUACCUUGUAUAUGGACAAAACUUAAGAAAGUGGAAAAUCUGAUAUCUCCGGUGGUCUGUGACAUAGGAAAUUUUGGUCACAUAUGGUUAUCUCGUGUGUCUUCAAUAAAGGUCAUUGUGAUUCAAAUUUCAGAGUUAUUGUCUAAAUACCAAAAUAUACAUGCUAAAAGGUACAAAUUCGUUUUGGCCAUGAGUGUAAGGUCAGGUUCACAAAUAGUUAUAAAGAGAAGACAAGUUUAGCUUUGCCAUCUCUAUGUUCUCGGGAUGAUGGAAUCUAAAUACGUAGUCUAGAGAUAGAGCUAGGUAGAGAGUUGGUCAGAUGGGGCGAGACCGAGUGAUAGCAUUUGAACAUCUUGGUGAUGAAUAAAUAAAACAGCGUGUGUAAAUGUAUUCCAAUGUGUUUAGUGUAAAGACAUGUAACGUGUGGAGCACGGCAGGUAAGUUCGAGGCCAUAGACGACUGCCGGAAGUGCCAAUUCCAUUACAUCCGGCUUCCCUCCACUCCAAAUGAUCUUCACAUCCAGGUAGUUUGGUGACCGUUCUUCACGCUUUAUAAAGAUCCCGAAUAUUGUAAAAUAGCGAGUUUGUAUUAUGCACAUUUAAUAGGCGCGAGCGAGAGAGAAAAAUAGCUAAUUAACUUAAAUUUGAGGUAUAUUCCUGACUUAAGUUGACUAUACGAAACUAAACUAUACCUAAUGGGGGGAUAUGAGAUGGGGACUUUCGCCAGAAGUAGAAUUCAGAUUGUGACAGGUAGUUAAAGAGGUCAAAACCUUCACAACAUCAGAGCUAACAAAACCUAAUUAUUGAUAUUCUUACUCAACUCCACCAGUGAGUGCAAUUAACCAAACGGGGGCAAUUACACUCAUUGACAAAACUUAAGAAAGUUGUGGGGGUCGGUGGAAGGCUGGUUAAACCGUUUGGUUUUCGACCACUAGGACCCGAGUUCGAUUCCCGCAUUGGACACUUUUUUUCUGUUUAAAGAAAAAAAAAAUGCUCCAAUGGCCCCCGAUUCUUGCAAAAGUCCAACCCCACCAGCGAGUGCAAGUAACCAAACGGGGCUCUGGCAUUAGUAAGUGCAAAGUCGAACUGCUUUUCACAUGUGUAGACAUGUGGUGCACUUACAGUAAAAGCAGUCGCUAACUACCCACCAUGAUUAUCAUGGCCUGUACCACGUGUACUAGGGAUAAGCAAAAAAAAAAGAAAGUUGUACCAUUUAGCCUGUAUAUCGGUAUUCAGACAAUAAUUCUGAAAGAUAUUUGAUACACAGUUAUCUUUAUUGAAGACAAACGAGAUAACCAAGUGUGAACAAAAUUGCCUCUGUCUUCUUAAAAAAAGAUAACAGGCGACAUUAAAGACCUUCCACUCUCUCAAGUUUUGUCCAUGGGUGUAAAUGGGAAAACACACACAUUCAAAAACUAAAUAUACAGAUUUAAUUAUUUAUACUUUUUAUACGAGGGUUAUCGAUAUAUGCUUCAGAGUAGGAUUACGAAAAAAUGAUAUCAACAAUAAUCUCUCUUAUAUUUCUCUAUGAUUAUGUGUUAAAUUAGGUGUGCUUUGUCACGAAAGCUUACUCCAGUUGCUUCUCUUA